CGCCCGGCCAUCAGGAUUUUUAAAGCUCCCCAGGUGAUUUUACUUUGCAGCCAAAUUUUGGAACCACUGUCUUACACCCUGGCCACUUUCCCCUUUCCCGUUGCCUCCCUUGGCGCGCCCUGAGCCAUUUGACUCCUGCUCUUCUCCAGAUCCCAAAGUUUGGCUUCCCAGGCUGUGCCAGGCCGGCUUGGCCCUGCCCACUGCCUUAAUCCCACCCUAGUUCUGGGAUUGUGAAGCCAAACAUUUCCUCCUUCACUCCUCCCCAAGUCCCUUCUUAGUGUAGGUGGUUUUACUUUUUGGGGGCGUUUCGGGUGAGGACCUUUGUCCGAGACUUUUGAAAAAACGAAAGAACUCCGAUCCUCCUCUGGUGGUAGCAGCAGGAAGUUCACCAGUGGGACAGCAGAGAAAUUGCGAGAAGCCCUGCUGAGGAAGCCCCAGUGGGCUGGGGCCGUCUUGUUUUUUGCUGAGGAAGAUUCACCCUGAGCUAACAUCUGUGCCAAUCUUCCUCUAUAUUGUAUGUGGGUUGCCGCCACAGCAUGGCCACUGAUGAGUGGUGUAGGUCCGCACCCAGGAGCCAAACCCGAGCUGCAGAAGCGGAGAACACUGGACUUAAUCACUAAGCCAUGGGGCUGGUGGGGCCAUCAUUUUUGCUCACGUUCCUCCUCUUCUAGUUCUUGUCUUCCCCACCCACCCCCUCCUGGUCAUCUCUUUUUCAUUCUUUCCUGUCCUCUCCAUUUAUCUACAUCAGUCACAAAUCUUUCAAAGGUGAGCCUGUUCCCUCUGCCUACCCAAGACAUCCUCCAUGCAGCCCACCUCCUUCUCUCCCACUUGAGUUUGGUGACCCAGAGCUUGUAAGUGUGUUGUCACACCACAACCAGAAGUGGUUCAUGAAAUGAGACAAGCUGGGAAAUAAGGCUGUAAGUGAUUCCUUCCUCUACAAAAUUACAUGGAGUGCUGUGGUGCUGAGCCCUGUAUUGGUCUUGAAAACUGGACAUUUCCUCAGCAACUUGAUAAGAAUUCGCUAUGAGGCUGACUAGAAUCUGGGGGCUGGAGGGGAAACUGAGGCCUAGAGCAAAGAGGUAACCGUACAAGUUUCACUGCUAGAGGGCUCUGCCUGGCCCAGGGACUUACUAAGGCAUGGCUCAGAAAUGAUCCUGGGUAACUGCUUUGUUUUGCAAAUUGCAAAACUGAGGUCUGGAGACACCAAUGACUUGCCCAGGGCAUGUGGCUUGUUCCCAAAGACUAGGACUACAGCCCAGGACUCCUGACUCUUCUUCCUAGAACACCUCAGCUGCCUCAGUCUUCUCCAGAGUGACCUUUAGAGACUAGUUUAAUUUUGUAAGCUGGUGGGGCUUGCAGUAAGAACUUUGAAGAAGAAAUGUCAAAAGGAAUCGACAAGAAUAAAAAUGGAGAGGAGAUCACAAAGCUCAGUGUCCCUUGAGGCUUUUCCUAUCUCUUUCCUUGACACCUCCCUAGCCAGCCCCUCCUCCUCCCUUGCACGGCCUCACUGUUUGCGGCGUCCAAAGGGUGGCUCUGGCCUCCUCUGCACCCACUUCCCAGGGCGCAUGUCCACUCACAUCACUUUAGCUCCUGUGACAUGCAGACACUUCCACAUCUGCUGCUCCUGCCCUGGACUUCACAUUUCUUUCCACAGCUGGUUCUGGGAUAUUUCCAUAUGUAAAUAUGCUUAGCUCAGCUGGAAAUCAAAAUUGGAAUUCAUCUUCCCUCUGAAAAUCUGCAGCCUUUUCCUACACCCCUGUUUCCUUCCGUGCUUCCAUAGUCUCCCAGACUCAAAACUUUCGUGUCCCCAGAGGCUGGAGGAGUUGGGAAGGGGAGUCAGUGUUUAAUGGGGACAGAGCUUCAGUUUGGGAAGAUGACAACGUUCUGGACACGGAUGGUGAUGAUGGUUGUCCAACAAUGUGAAUGUACUUAAUGCCACUGAACUGCACACUUAAUAAUGGUUACAAUGGAGAAAAAUGGUUGCAGGGGUAAAUUUUAUAUGUAUUUAACACAAUAUAAAAAACAUAAAACAAAAAACUUUCAUGUUAUCCUUGACUCAUGGCUACUUUGCUCUCUCCUUCCCAGCUCACUUUGUCCCCGGGUCAUGCUGAGUUUUCACUUAGUGGAAGUUCCUCAAACUUUCACAAACUCCAGCAUCAUCAGGGACGCUUGUUAGUUAUCAAUUCCCGAGCCCCAUCCCCCUCUUUAGUCUAAGAGUGAGGCCUGGAAUCUGCAUUUUAAACGAACUUGCCAACAAACCUGACACAAGUGGACUGCAGACCACACUUGGAGAAACACUGCCUUCCAGUGUCUUUCGGCUUUGUCCCUUUGUCUCCUUUCCACGACCCCUCUCCCUCUCUGCCCCGGCUGGCCCUCAUCACCUCGCACCUGGAUUACAGCAACAGCUGGCCUGUCUUCCGCUAGCCUUUCCCUGCUCCAGCCUCUCCAGCUGCCAGGACCCAUCUUCUGCAAAUAUCUUUGGCAUCACAUCACUUCCCCGCUCAGAAGCCCACCAUGGCUCCCUCAGACCUAGUAGAUCCUAUCUCCAUUCAUUUGGCUGGGAGCCAGCCAAGUCGGCCUCCCAUCAUCCCUCCUUCCUCCUUCCCUGUUCACUCCCAACUCUGCAGGCUCAUGGGACAUUUUUAAUCUUAUGAUAGCUCCUCUGCUGGUUUGGGGGGGUCUCCUUUCUACCACCCCCCUCCCCGCCUCCAGAACACUUCUGGUUAUAUGGGAGGAAUUAUGAAAGCUGUUGAGAGUCUCCAUCCUGUUUCUCAAUGUGUCUGUCCCCUCUCCCCUACACUCCCGGCGGUGCCAUUCACUAGCUAAAUGGCUUUGGGCAAGUUGCUUCACCUCUCCGUACCUUGGUGUUCUCAUUUUCUCAUCUAAAAUGGGGAUCUGAGUCAUAUACCUUCACAGAUUUGUGGAGAGGGUUAAAAGAGGCAAUAGAUGCCAAAGGGCUUAGAACAGUGUCUGGCACAAAGUAAGUGCCAUGGAAAUGUUAACUUUUAUUAUUAAUUAUGGUUGUUAUGGCCCCUUCCGCCAGCUCUUUCCUGGAAACCUCUUCUGCUCGG
ensembl:lncRNA